AAAGCCCCGCAAGGGGCAAGUAGAGUGGCAAACGGGUGAGUAACACGUGGGUGACCUGCCUUCGAGUGGGGGAUAACGUCCCGAAAGGGACGCUAAUACCGCAUGACAUCCUGCCUUUGAACAGGCGGAGAUCAAAGCCGGGGAUCGCAAGACCUGGCGCUCAAAGAGGGGCCCGCGCCUGAUUAGCUAGUUGGUGGGGUAAUGGCUCACCAAGGCAACGAUCAGUAUCCGGCCUGAGAGGGCGGACGGACACACUGGGACUGAGACACGGCCCAGACUCCUACGGGAGGCAGCAGUGGGGAAUUGUUCGCAAUGGGCGCAAGCCUGACGACGCAACGCCGCGUGGAGGAUGAAGACCUUCGGGUCGUAAACUCCUUUCGAUCGAGACGAAUGGCUUCCGGGUGAACAAUCCGGAGGAAUGACGGUACCGAGAGAAGAAGCCCCGGCUAACUCCGUGCCAGCAGCCGCGGUAAUACGGGGGGGGCAAGCGUUGUUCGGAAUUACUGGGCGUAAAGGGCUCGUAGGUGGCCAACUAAGUCAGACGUGAAAUCCCUCGGCUUAACCGGGGAACUGCGUCUGAUACUGGAUGGCUGGAGUUUGGGAGAGGGAUGCGGAAUUCCAGGUGUAGCGGUGAAAUGCGUAGAUAUCUGGAGGAACACCGGUGGCGAAGGCGGCAUCCUGGACCAACACUGACGCUGAGGAGCGAAAGCCAGGGGAGCAAACGGGAUUAGAUACCCCGGUAGUCCUGGCCCUAAACGAUGAAUGCUUGGUGUGGCGGGUAUCGAUCCCUGCCGUGCCGAAGCUAACGCA
rnacentral:rRNA from 1 species